AGCGAACGCUGGCGGCAGGCCUAACACAUGCAAGUCGAACGAACCUUUCGGGGUUAGUUUCGGACGGGUGAGUAACACGUGGGAACGUGCCUUUAGGUUCGGAAUCAUUCAGGGAAACUUGUGCUAAUACCGAAUGUGCCCUUCUGGUGAAGGAUUUGUCGCCUUUGGAGCGGCCCGCGUCUGAUUAGCUAGUUGGUUGAGGUAAUGGCUCACCAAGGCGACGUCCAGUAGCUGGUCUGGGAGGAUGAUCAGCCACAUUGGGACUGAGACACGGCCCAAACGCCUACGGGAGGCAGCAGUGGGGAAUCUUGCGCAAUGGGCGAAAGCCUGACGCAGCCAUGCCGCGUGAAUGAUGAAGGUCUUAGGAUUGUAAAAUUCUUUCACCGGGGACGAUAAUGACGGUACCCGGAGAAGAAGCCCCGGCUAACUUCGUG
rnacentral:rRNA from 1 species